UAUGUGCAAUAAUACAUAUGUGUAAUAAUACAUAUGUGUAAUAAUACAUAUGUGUAAUAAUACAUAUGUGCAAUAAUACAUAUGUGCAAUAAUACAUAUGUGCAACACUUGGGUGUCUUUAUUGAGGACACGUUUCGCCCCAAAGUGGAUUCAUCAGUCUAAUACAGAGAGGAACGGUGUGGAACAGGAAGUUUGAGGUGUGAGUCUUUAAGGUUGAAGUCGAGGCGUCCAGGUUAAGAUAAGAUUUUGAGGGGAAUUUUAACUCUGGAGGGUUAGCCAGCCAGGAUAACCCAGGGUAGGGAGUGUUAGCCAGCCAGGAUAACCCAGGGUAGGGAGUGUUAGCCAGCCAGGAUAACCCAGGGUAGGGAGUG